AAUCGGUUGUGUUUUUAAAAAUCAGGAAAAUGUUUACACCAUGAUUACCUUCAUUUAAAUGUUCUCAGAACAUGCUUCACAACCUCCAUUUCUGAACUUUGAUGUUGGAUGCAUUCGAUCUGCCACAAGGGAGGCGUUUGGAGUGGGAGGUGGCCUUCGUGGACAGCUCGCAGCUGGGAUCCUGGACCCAGUCCUGCCCUUUGCCCGGAGCGGAGUGGCUCUGCGCCCGCGGGGCGGCCGGGACGCGGUGCAGGGACGCGGAGAGCCAGCGAGGGGAGCUGCAGGGUAACUUUUCCCAGGGAAAGCAGCCGGUCGUCCCCGCUAGAAGCCACCCAGCCUUUUGUUUGUUUUCCUGCGGGAGGCUGGAAGGCGGCCGCGUUCCUGCUGCACUGCCAUGCGCCGCGCGGCCCGUGCGAGUCUCCGGAGCUCCCGGGGGGCCCUGCAUGGACCCCUCGGCCUCUCCUAGCAGGGAUCGCCCCCGUCUGCCGUUCCCGAGCGGGCCGCUGCGCCCCCCUCGCCGAGGAGCUGCGCUCACCGCAGGGGCGGGCCACCGCCUGCGCUCGCGGCGCCAGCAAAAGACGGAUCUUUGAAAAUAUGUAUUUGGGAGAUUGUCAUGUAUUGAAUACCUUGUGCUGGUGCUGCCAUCGAAAAAUCUGGUUACACUCUGGGGAGGCCUGCUUCCGCUGCAGGGCUGAGCCGCCUCGGCCUUGA
rnacentral:lncRNA from 1 species